rnacentral:lncRNA from 1 species
AGUCAUUCGGAAUUCUGAAAGACCACAGCACUCUAUGUCUACUUCUAUUAUAGAUUCAUAUUUGACCAUAAUUAUUUAUUUCAACAUUUCUCUGCACUACCAGACUUUGAGUUCCCUGGAACUAAAAAUAUUGCUUGGACCUCACGCUGUACCUGAAUACCUGGCAUUAAGAACUUAUUUGCCUCAUAACCCAAAUUCCUGCUCCCCAAUAAAAAAUGAGUAACAUCAGGGUAUAAAAUGCCAGCUGGAAGAGUAUUCGCAACCAUAUACAAUGAAGAGUCACACUUCCAAGAAGAAAGCCGAUGUCCCACUUCAGCAUCAAAUCUAAGACACUGCAUUUCACUUUUUCUGUACAAAUAUCAUAAUCUGUUUGUUAAUCUCUUGGUUUUAUUUCAAAAAUGAAACUAUAUUUAGAGAGGGAACAAAUUCUACCAGUUGCUGUUGGAAGCAAAAGAUCUUUUUCAUUCUUGGAUGCUUUAUAUUUGGACAGAGAAAGAAUCAGAAUCCAUCCUUCUUUUUCCUAACCGGAAUUUGAGAGACAUGAGAAGGGAACUAAACACACAGGCUUCAGGAUCUGGUGGAAAGAGAUAAGGUGUCUCAACGACUGUUGGCCUCAUCAAGAGAUACUACCCCUGAUCUUUUCAUUUCACUUUCCUCGGGUCUGCCUAAACUCAGUGUCUCUCCUAGAAAACCACCCAACUCAUGAAAAACUGUUUGUAAGAAAAUGUUCUCAACACAAAGAAAUAAUAAAGGUUUGAGAUGAUAAAUAUGCUAA